AGCCUGUUAGAAAUCCCCAUAAGGUUUUUAUUCGUCACAGGGGAAACCCCAGCUCUUGCAACUUUCUCAUUGCUGGUGCCUCUGUGUCAGGAAAGGCACGGUGGCCGGCAAGGUCGCUGUCGUUCUUACGAGGAGCGGGACGUCCUCGCGGCAGUGUGCAUUGUGUUCACCCUGUAAGUGAACACACGUGGCCGUGGUCUUUUCCCAGCAGGCACUACAGAGCUGUGGUUCCGACAGCCGGCUGCAUAACCCUCCUCGUGGACCUGCAGCGGAAGCUCUGUGGGCAGCAGAAUGCUAAUGCUCGUCCCCAGUUAACUUUGGCUUAUCAGACACCAGUCACCUGAUCCAUACCAGGCACUGUGUUGGACUCCCUGAGUGAAAAGGAAAAGAAUCCUGCUGCAGUCUGCUCUUUAUAGCGAUUUCCUGCCCAGCAUAUGGUGCCAUUACGCUUGGAGUCACACAAUCAAAUAUUCAGGAAUUGUCUAGUCCAGCACAAAGCCGUACCGGAAACAGAAGAAAUGAGCAAUAUUUUGAAAUACAAAUUCAGGACACAGAAAGGCAAAGAAGAUGGACAUCAGAAGAAGAAGAAAACAGGAAACAACCUAGGAACCUACCACAGAGGGCCUCUGAAAGCCUCUGCCCUUCAGACUAUCAAAGCAGAUGCUG